AAAGGCAGCUAUAUCUUUCAUAUAUUACCCUGCAGCCCAAGACUGGUUGCCCACUGAAGCUAAGCAGGGUUGAGUCUGGUCAGUACCGGGAUGGGAGACCUCCUGGGAAAACUAGGUUGCUGCUGGAA
rnacentral:rRNA from 1 species